CAGCACCUCAAGUGGUCAGGAUGAUUAUUGGGCCUAAAGCAUCCGUAGCCGGCGCUGUAAGUUUUCGGUUAAAUCUGUACGCUCAACGUACAGGCUGCCGGGAAUACUGCAGCGCUAGGGAGUGGGAGAGGUAGACGGUACUCGGUAGGAAGGGGUAAAAUCCUUUGAUCUAUUGAUGACCACCUGUGGCGAAGGCGGUCUACCAGAACACGUCCGACGGUGAGGGAUGAAAGCUGGGGGAGCAAACCGGAUUAGAGACCCGCGUAGUCC
rnacentral:rRNA from 1 species